UACGUAGGGGGCAAGCGUUGUCCGGAAUCAUUGGGCGUAAAGAGCGCGUAGGCGGCCCUGUAAGUCCGCUGUGAAAGUCAAGGGCUCAACCCUUGAAUGCCGGUGGAUACUGCAGGGCUAGAGUCCGGAAGAGGCGAGUGGAAUUCCUGGUGUAGCGGUGAAAUGCGCAGAUAUCGGGAGGAACACCGGUGGCGAAGGCGGUUCUCUGGGCCUGACCUGACGCUGAGGAGCGAAAGCGUGGGGAGCGAACAGG
rnacentral:rRNA from 1 species